GCCGCUCUGGAAAGUGGAUUUUGCGAAGCAAGAUCCAGAUCGAGCCUGUCGAGAUCUCUCGCCCUGCCUGGUCUGGACUACGCGAAAUCCCGCCCAAGGUGAAAGCCGCACGCAUCCGUCGAUCGACGGAGCAGCGGUGAAACUCUCAGGCCGGAUGACAGAGGGGGAGUU
rnacentral:ncRNA from 2 species